rnacentral:rRNA from 1 species
GGCCAUGGAAGUCGGAAUCUGCUAAGGAGUGUGUAACAACUCACCUGACAAAUGCAAUAGCCUUGAAAAUUAAUGGCGCUGAAAGUGUACAAAACAUAUAAACAACUGAGAAUGAGAAAUAUUAUUUUUUAUUCAUUCUCAUGUAAGCUUUUGUGGUGUAUUUAAAUAUAAAAUAUUUAUAAAUAAAGAGAUGAAGAAUACAAAGAUUAAUCUUGUUUCGAUCAUACACUAGUACAGAUCUUGGUGGUAGUAGCAAAUAAUCAAGUGAGAACCUUGAUCGCCGAUGUGAGGAAG